rnacentral:rRNA from 1 species
UACAGAGGCCUCGAGCGUUAGGCGGAAUCACUGGGCUUAAAGCGUGUGUAGGUGGAUGCCUAAGUACCUUGUGAAAUCCCACGGCUUAACCGUGGAACUGCUGGGUAUACUGGGUGUCUUGAGCCACUCAGGGGCUACCGGAACAAGCGGUGGAGCGGUGAAAUGCGUAGAUAUCGCUUGGAACGCCAAUGGUGAAAACAGGUAGCUGGGGGUGUGCUGACACUGAGACACGAAAGCCAGGGGAGCAAACGGG